GGAAUAUUGGUCAAUGGGCGAGAGCCUGAACCAGCCAAGUAGCGUGCAGGACGACGGCCCUAUGGUUUGUAAACUGCUUUUUUGCGGGGAUAAAUUGAGGGACGUGUCCUUCAUUGCAGGUACCGCAUGAAUAAGGACCGGCUAUUUCCGUGCCAGCAGCCGCGGUAAUACGGAAGGUCCGGGCGUUAUCCGGAUUGAUUGGGUUUAAAGGGAGCGCAGGCUGAUGAUUAAGCGUGACGUGUAAUGUAGCCGCUCAACGGCUGAACUGCGUCGCGAACUGGUUAUCUUGAGUGAGUUCGAUGUUGGCGGAAUUCGUGGUGUAGCGGUGAAGUGCUUAGAUAUCACGAAGAACUCCGAUUGCGAAGGCAGCCAACAAGGCCUUUACUGACGCUAAAGCUCGAAGGUGCGGGUAUCGAACA
rnacentral:rRNA from 1 species